rnacentral:rRNA from 1 species
AUUGAACGCUGGCGGCAUGCUUUACACAUGCAAGUCGAACGGCAGCACGGGCUUCGGCCUGGUGGCGAGUGGCGAACGGGUGAGUAAUAUAUCGGAACGUACCCAGAAGUGGGGGAUAACGUAGCGAAAGUUACGCUAAUACCGCAUACGAUCUAUGGAUGAAAGCAGGGGACCGCAAGGCCUUGUGCUCCUGGAGCGGCCGAUAUCUGAUUAGCUAGUUGGUGAGGUAAAGACUCACCAAGGCGACGAUCAGUAGCUGGUCUGAGAGGACGACCAGCCACACUGGAACUGAGACACGGUCCAGACUCCUACGGGAGGCAGCAGUGGGGAAUUUUGGACAAUGGGCGCAAGCCUGAUCCAGCAAUGCCGCGUGAGUGAAGAAGGCCUUCGGGUUGUAAAGCUCUUUUGUCAGGGAAGAAACGGUAGAGGCUAAUAUCCUUUGCUAAUGACGGUACCUGAAGAAUAAGCACCGGCUAACUACGUG